rnacentral:rRNA from 1 species
UCGAGAAGCUUCGGCAAUGGGCGAAAGCCUGACCGAGCGACGCCGCGUGAGCGAUGAAGGCCCUUCGGGUUGUAAAGCUCUGUCAGAUCGGGAACAAAUGCCGGGGGCGAAUAACCCCUGGAGCUGAGGGUACCGUCAGAGGAAGCACCGGCUAACUCCGUGCCAGCAGCCGCGGUAAUACGGAGGGUGCAAGCGUUGUUCGGAUUCACUGGGUAUAAAGGGUGCGUAGGCGGCCUGAUAAGUCAGAGGUGAAAGCUGUCGGCUCAACCGACAAACUGCCUUUGAGACUGCCAGGCUUGAGUCCGGGAGAGGAAGGCGGAAUUCCUGGUGUAGCGGUGAAAUGCGUAAAUAUCAGGAGGAACACCGGUGGCGAAGGCGGCCUUCUGGCCCGGUACUGACGCUGAGGCACGAAAGCCAGGGGAGCAAACGGG